GAUAUGAGCCACCACAGAGAACUAUAUGUCCACAUGAAGAAAUUUAAAAUGUUUGUCAUUUUGUUUUUAUCUCUGUCUUUGCUCACAGACAUUGUGUUAUCAUUGCCUACGAUCAAACAAUCACCUCCUCUGAUAAAACCUGAACAAGAAGAAGCCCGUCUGGACUGUUACCAUGGAGACAACGACUACCCCUACAUGCUUUGGUACCAGCACAAGUCAGCAGCAGGAGGCCAGAGGGACAUGGAGCUGAUCGGACUGCUUUAUUAUGAAAGACCAACCCUUGAGAAAAACUUUGAGGCACGUUUCAACAUAACGGGCCAGGCGAAGGGCCGAGCUCAGCUUGUAAUCUCCAAAAUAAAGCCAGCAGACAGCGCAGAGUACUUCUGUGCAGCCAGUCAGCACAGUGUUUCAACUCCUCUGGCUCCUUUUACAAAAAGCUGGUGGGCCACAAUAAAGUGCACCUGCAUCAGACCUACACUUUAUGAAGACAGCAGCAUAAUUCAGAUGCUGCAGCUUUCUAUCCCUGCUCUGAGAGGACAAAGAAGUGUAUAA